UACGUAGGGGGCAAGCGUUGUCCGGAUUUAUUGGGCGUAAAGGGCGCGUAGGCGGCCAGCACAAGUCAGUUGUGAAAUCUCCGAGCUUAACUCGGAAAGGUCAACUGAUACUGUGCGGCUAGAGUGCGGAAGGGGCAACUGGAAUUCUUGGUGUAGCGGUGAAAUGCGUAGAUAUCAAGAGGAACACCUGCGGCGAAGGCGGGUUGCUGGGCCGACACUGACGCUGAGGCGCGAAGCCAGGGGAGCGAACGGG
rnacentral:rRNA from 1 species